UCUAAAUACUCGCUGAAUCCAACGUAAAGCCGGAACGGGAGAAACAUUUUAUGGGGUGAAUCACAGAUUAUAUCUAUGUAGGGUCAACUCUUUCGAUCCGAAUCCUCAGCUAAUCCCAUAAGCGUUGAAGGAGAAGGUGA
rnacentral:sRNA from 2 species